rnacentral:lncRNA from 1 species
AGUAAAGCCAUCUCUUGUGUCCGUGUAGGAGAGUCCUGAGGUGGAGAAGGGCUGGGAUCAAGCCAACCACUCACCCACUUAAGAAAAUUCAUCUGAAGCUUCCUCCACUGCCAGACAGAUCUUCCUGCAUCAGGUCCGGUGCUGCCCCUGACAUGAAAUGCUCAAGAUUUCUAGACUUUGAAACACUCUGAAGAAUUGAAAGGCUUUGGUAUCAGGAUGAUGCUGGCCUCAUAAAAUGAGUUAGAGAGGAUUCCCUCUUUUUCUAUUGAUUGGAAUAGUUUCAGAAGGAAUGGUACCAGCUCCUCCUUGUACCUCUGGUAGAAUUCAUCUGUGAAUCCAUCUGGUCCUGGACUAUUUUUGCUCUGCACAUGGAGUUUGGUGACACGUUUACAAGAGAUCACCUGUGAUGAGGACAAAGGUCGGUGGAAAGCUGUUCAAACAGAGAGACUUGGCCUUGAGGAGCCCAUUUGAACCUCAACUCUUGACCUGUUCAUUGACUGUGUUGGCUAAUUGGGUCUUCAGUGCAAAGCAAGAAACAAUGCUCAGCUUUGCUAACUGUCUGUGUAGCCAGAACAUGAAAAUCAAUCUACCGAUGACCAAAAGGGCAUAGCAAACAACAUCCCUGUGGAGUUGGGUGUUUUUGGCCUUGGCGUUCCACAGAUGUGACCUGAGAAUUCACACAACUUACAUGAAGAUGCAAUUCAUAUAAUUAAUAUGUUCACUGCAUGAAGAUUUUAUUCACCAUAAGUUGGGAUGGUGAGAGACGGACAGAAAACACAGAAGCCCGAGGUGGGAAGCUCUUUGCUCUCUUUUAAGAUGCUUACUGCUGAAGUAAGUACAAAACAGACGGAGUCUAGCACUGUCGCCCAGGCUGGAGUGCAGUGGCGCCAUCUCAGCUCACUGUAAGCUCCGCCUACCAGGUUCAUGCCGUUCUCCUGCCUCAGUUUCCCGAGUAGCUGGGACUACAGGUGCCUGCCACCACGCCCGGCUAACUUUUUUUGUAUUUUUAGUAGAGACAGGGUUUCACCGUGUUAGCCAGGAUGGUCUCCAUCUCCUGACCUUGUGAUCCGCCCUCCUCUGCCUCCCAAAGUGCUGGGAUUAUAGGUGUGAGCCACUGCACCUGGCCUGUUUCUAAUUUUAUAAGGAGAAUACCCUACCUAUCUUUCUUCUCAAAGCAAGUCAUUUAAGUUCCAGGAAAUUAUCCCUUAAGUCUGGCUUUCCUGUGUGUCUCAGUUUCCAUUCCUCUCUCCCUCCUGCUACUGUACUAGAUCAGGUCCCCAUUAUCUCUGAUCUGCACUAAAAUAAUGAACUUCUUAUGGACUGUCUUCCUGUGGAUUCACCUCUCCUCCAGUGUGGUCCUCACAGAGCUGAAGGUUCUAAUUCACAAAUCUGAUUACAUCACCCUCCACUUCAGAACUCCCCAUUUUUAAGGUCAUAAUCUUAACUCAUGUACAUGGCAUGCCAUGCCCUUCAUGAACUGGCCACUCCUUGCUUUUGUAGAGUUAUCUAUUGCCACUCUUUACUUCUUACUCCACACUCUACUCUACCAUUAUUGAACUACUUGUCAUUUUGCCCCAUGGUCUUUCAGACUUCCAAGUCUUUGCAUGUGGCAUUCCCUGGAAUAUCCUCCUGCCUUGACAAAGUUGUACCUACAUAUAUGAUAUUGUGAAAACACGUAACCAGUUUUUCUACCAUUAUAGCUCACGUUCUUUUGACAAUGUCAAAAUUGUAUUUUAAAAGUGGAUUCUGGGACUUUUGCUUCUGGCAAAUAAGAUAUCACUCAUACUUACUGAAAUGGUUAAAAUCAAGAACAUUGACUAUUCCAAGUGUUGGUAAAAAUAGAGAGGAAAUGGAACUCCCAUACAUUGCUGGCGGAAAUGCCAAGUUGGUGUAACAACUUUGGCACACAGUUUGGCACUUUCUUUAAAAGCUACACGUGUCUACUACAUGACCCAGCCCUUCUGUCCCUUGGUAUUUAACCUAGAGAAAUGAAAGCACAUACCCAUACUAAGGCUGCUACGCCAAUGUUUGUAGCAGCUUUAUUUGUUAUAGCCCCAAACUGGAAACAACACAAAUGUCCAUCAACGGGUGAAUGAAUAAACAAAUUGUCGUAUAUCCAUGCAGCACAAUACUACCCAGUAAUAAAAGGAAUGCACUAUCGACACACUUUACAAUGUGAAAUAGUAUCAAAAUAAUUAUGGUGAAUGAUAGAAGCCAGACCAAAAAACAGUGCGUAUUGUAUGGUUCCAUUUAUAUAUACAGAAGAAUCUCUGUAUCUGGGGAUUCUGCAUUUGUGGAUUCAAUCAACUACAGAUAAAAAAUAUUUGAAAAAAUUUUAAAAUGCAACAUAAAAAUAAUACAAUGCAAUAUAACAACUAUUUAUAUAACAUUUAUAAUGCAUCAGGUAUUAUCAAUAAUCUAGAGAUGAUUUAAAGUAUAAAAGAGAAUGUGGGAAAGUUGUUCAAAUACUGCACAAUUUUACAUAAGGGACUUGAGCGUCCAUAGAUUUUGAUAUCCACAGGAAUGUCCUGGAAAAAAAUCCCUGAGGAUACUUGAGGGGACAACAGUAAAUCCAGUAAAUCCAGGGAAUAUAACCUAAUGCAUAGUGACAGAGAGCAGAUGAAAGAUUACUUGGGAUGAGGGUGUCAUGAAGAGGGGAUGGGAAGGAAAGGGGGGAAUGGAUUGAAAAUGGGCAUGAGAAAACUUAUUGUUGGGGUGAUGCUUUUUUAUUAUUUUAAUUGUGGUGAUGCUUUAAUAGGUAUAUACAUAUGUACAAACAUAUUAAAUUCUUCAUUUAAAAUGU